rfam:Gossypium raimondii chromosome 9, whole genome shotgun sequence.
AACCUAUGAUGAGGGCACCUUCUCAAUAAGUCUUUUUCUCUCUCCAUGCAUCAUAAAAUGUCUCUAAAUUGAUCUGGGCAAAGAAAGAAAUAUCAUUCCUCAACUU